rnacentral:rRNA from 1 species
CCUACGGGUGGCAGCAGUGAGGAAUAUUGGUCAAUGGGCGGGAGCCUGAACCAGCCAAGCCGCGUGAGGGAAGAAGGUACAGCGUAUCGUAAACCUCUUUUGUCAGGGAACAAAGGCGGGGACUAGUCCCCGGAUCAGGGUACCUGAAGAAAAAGCAUCGGCUAACACCGUCCAAGCAGCCGCGGUAAUACGGAGGAUGCGAGCGUUACCGGGUUUUAUUGGGUUUAAAGGGUGUGCAGGGGGCCUGUUAAGUGAGCGGUAAAAGCCCGGGGCUCACCCCCGGCGAGCCGUUGAAACUGGCGGGAUGGAGUUGGGGAGAAGUACGCGGAAUGCGCGGUGUAGCGGUGAAAUGCUUAGAUAUCGCGCAGAACCCCGAUUGCGAAGGCAGCGGACCGGCUCCACACUGACGCUGAGGCACGAAAGCGUGGGUAUCGAACAGGAUUAGAUACCCCUGUAGUC